rnacentral:rRNA from 1 species
GAUGAACGCUGGCGGCGUGCCUAAUACAUGCAAGUCGAGCGAACGGACGAGAAGCUUGCUUCUCUGAUGUUAGCGGCGGACGGGUGAGUAACACGUGGAUAACCUACCUAUAAGACUGGGAUAACUUCGGGAAACCGGAGCUAAUACCGGAUAAUAUUUUGAACGGCAUGGUUCAAAAGUGAAAGACGGUCUUGCUGUCACUUAUAGAUGGAUCCGCGCUGCAUUAGCUAGUUGGUAAGGUAACGGCUUACCAAGGCAACGAUGCAUAGCCGACCUGAGAGGGUGAUCGGCCACACUGGAACUGAGACACGGUCCAGACUCCUACGGGAGGCAGCAGUAGGGAAUCUUCCGCAAUGGGCGAAAGCCUGACGGAGCAACGCCGCGUGAGUGAUGAAGGUCUUCGGAUCGUAAAACUCUGUUAUUAGGGAAGAACAUAUGUGUAAGUAACUGUGCACAUCUUGACGGUACCUAAUCAAAAAGCCACGGCUAACUACGUG